UACAGAGGUCUCAAGCGUUUGUUCGGAUUCAUUGGGCGUAAAGGGUGCGUAGGCGGCGCGGUAAGUCGGGUGUGAAAUCUCGGAGCUUAACUCCGAAACUGCAUUCGAUACUGCCGUGCUUUGAGGACUGGAGAGGAGACUGGAAUUUACGGUGUAGCGGUGAAAUGCGUAGAUAUCGUAAGGAAGACCAGUGGCGAAGGCGGGUCUCUGGGCCGAUACUGACGCUGAGGAGCGAAAGCGUGGGGAGCGAACAGG
rnacentral:rRNA from 1 species